rnacentral:rRNA from 1 species
GAUGAACGCUGGCGGCGUGCCUAACACAUGCAAGUCGAACGAAAAGAUCAGGAGUUUGUGCCUUUGACGUUAGCGGCGGACGGGUGAGUAACAUGUGGGUAACCUACCUAUAUGACUGGAAUAAUCACGGGAAACCGGGGCUUAUGCCGGAUAACAUCUAGAACCGCAUGGUUCUAAGGUGAAUGUUGGCUUUGCUUUCUGUAAUAGCCGGACCCGAGCCGUAUUAGUGAGUUGGUACGGUAACGGCUUACCAAGGCUACGAUACGUAACCGACCUGAGAGGGUGAUCGGCCACACUGGAACUGAGACACGGUCCAGACUCCUACGGGAGGCAGCAGUAGGGAAUCUUCCGCAAUGGGCGAAAGCCUGACGGAGCAACACCGCGUGAGUGAUGAAGGUCUUCGGAUCGUAAAGCCCUGUUAUUAGGGAAGAACAAAUGUGUAAGUAACUGAGCACGUCUUGACGGUACCGAAUCAAAAAGCCACGGCUAACUACGUG